rnacentral:lncRNA from 1 species
ACCGGCACGAGGGUCGGGGUAGCUCUCUCCCUCCGGUGCCCUCCAGCCGCCGAGCUCCGGGCCGUGCAGAAGCCCCAUAUCGACGAGGUCACCAAGAGAUUUUGUGGUGCUGCGAGACUUCUUCCACUCCUUGGCCAUCAGUUCGGCCCUCUUCCUGGAGUCGCUCUUCGCCAUUAGAGGUGCGAAUAUGGGCUUGAGUUAGGAAGAUGCAGGAGAUUGGAGAAGAUGAGAGCGGAAGGUUUGAAGGCAAUGGCAGGGUAAGCGGUACAGGCGGACCUAUUAGGCUCUUAUCAGCCCGCAACUCCACCUCUCCCACUUCCUGUAUUCUCGGGAAGUGGGCAGGCCAUGCGGCGGACGCGGCGUUUCGGUUUACAAUGAUUAUAGACAAUUAAUGCGGCGGAUUUUUCGUACCAAUUGAUGGUUUCCUUUCUCAAACCAUGCAAAGGCGGUUGCACAAGUUGCCAGGCGCAACUUUUCAUGCAUCCGUCUGACACCACGUCAGGAGGCCUCGUCACGUCAAUUUUAACUGGGAAGAUCUUUUCAAAAAAAAAAAAAAACAAGACGACACAUACGCCAGAAAGUCAACAAUCCGGGGACUGCACCGACCAUCGGGCAUUCGACGCUCGGGGACUGGUCGCCCAGUCUAUCAGCUCGGAAUUUCAAGGACUGCGCCGACCACCGAGCACUCGACGCUCGGGGACUGGUCAUACAGUAUAUCAGCUCGGAACUUCAAGGACUGCGCC